ACAAAAAUUGUAGGAUAUAGGGUCUAGGGAACCCCAGUUUUGACCAGUUAACUUUCUCUGGUCAACUACCAUGAACCAUCUUGCUAACUUGACAUUAUCUUAACUUUUGGGACUCAUGGAGUAUCAUAUAUGUGUAAGAUGAUAUAAGUUGAAGUAUCCCUUAAAAUAUUUGAUCAAUUGUUGAAUAAACUUGUUGAAGAAGUCAC
rnacentral:lncRNA from 1 species